CGCCAACCAGUCCACCGGUUAAGGAGUUUUGCCAGGAUUUGCUCCGCAGCACAGCCCGGGCUCGCUGGUUUGAUUUACGUUACACGCAUUGGGUUUUAACCACGGUUGCAUUUGGUGGUCGCACAUUUAGCGGAGCCUUGGCACCCCUUGGGUUUAAGCGGUUAACGCGUUACUGGCUUUAAAUUUGGUGGUCUGCAUUUAGCAGAGCUUGGAGUGGUUUUAGCGUCUAAACGCUUAAUGCGUUUUUGGCUUUUAUUCACACAUGAUUUAUGCCCGCAAGCGAGCUAGCUGGCUCGUCGCGGUUUUGGUUCUGCUCACCGUAAACGGCAGUAGCUUACAAUGCACUGUAUUUAACCCAGUUUAAUUCAAAAAAUGGCUUUAAUGUAAAACUCGCCUGUACGAGGUGGUUCGUUGUGAUUUUAGCUCGCUGUAAUUUAAUAACUGCUUUGGAUAAAACCGGGUGGUCGCGUGUUACAAACGUUAAAAUGCAAAAUGCUGGCUCGGCGUGGCGUACGUAUUAAGUUUACCUUGAGGGAAUUGUAAAAUUAAGCGUUGUUAGCGCGGUCUCCAGAAACAAGUUGCAUUGCAUAUAGAGUGAUUUAACAAUUGUAUAAAUUUUUAUUUGUGGAUAUAAAAUUGCAUUAAUGUAUUACAUUGUUAAAUUUAGCUAACGUUGCGGUUGCAUUUGGAUAAUAUUUUGUGUAAUUUGCUUUUUAGAUGUGUUUGAGGGCGGAUUCCACGCAGGUAAGCUAACGAUUGCCUCUAGCUCCUAACGAUUGCCUCUAGCUCCUAACGAUUGCCUCUAGCUCCUAACGAUUGCCUCUAGCUCCUAACGAUUGCCUCUAGCUCCUAACGAUUGCCUCUAGCUCCUAACGAUUGCCUCUAGCUCCUAACGAUUGCCUCUAGCUCCUAACGAUUGCCUCUAGCUCCUAACGAUUGCCUCUAGCUCCUAACGAUUGCCUCAUUGUGUUUAACAAUGUUUAACAUCUGUAAAGCACAUUUAAAUUUAAAAAUGUUUGUGUUGGUUUUUAUGACCGGCUUGGAACAAACCUGCUGGUGAUUUUUUACCCAACAAAAAACUAUAAAUAAAAAAGUUAAAACGUAU
rnacentral:misc_RNA from 1 species